ACUGGCAUGGCUGAGAAUCUGCCCCCUGCUCUCUUAAAUUAAUCUCCUGACUAGCUCAGGUACUUUUAUGGCCACUAUUGCCAUAGCAUCGGAGCACCUCACAAGCUUUAACACAGUUAUUUUCACAACCCCACAGCGAGGGAGGGAAGUAGUAUUAUUCUCGCUUUGUAGAUGGGGAAGUGAGGCACAGAGAAGCACAAGGACUUAACUAAGGUCGCACGGGGAAUCAGUAGCAGAGCAGGAUGUGAACCCAUGUUUCCUAAGUCUGAAGUUACGACUCUAAUGACUGGACCAUCAUUCUCCUUCCUUUUUCAAUCAGUGAGCCAAGCAGAUAUCUCUGUAUUUAAUUUAUCCCUCCCUUUCUGUCAGUUCCUCAGGCUGCUGAACAAUGAAUUCAGGCAGAGACAUCUGGAGAAAAUGAAUGGGCCCCAUCUACCUGUUAUUCCAGGGUUCCUCCACCAUCGUGUUACUCCCUGGUUGCUCCAUCACUGAGUUUCUCCACCGAGUUACUGAAAUCAACAGUUACCUUGGCGUAAAGCUGGAGUACCGCAAUGCUACAUCUCGCCCAUGCUUGUAAAAUGACCCAGUUCACGCCUUGCUGUAACAGUUUCCCGCCCAGAGAGUGAGCCACCUGCACCUGGAAUAACUUUGGAAGCUCCAGGAUGACUCCGGGGCUUGCAUCGCCUUCCCUAGUGGCUUGAUGGUGAUUUUUACAGGAAAAAGGGCUCGCCUACAGGCUUGUAGCACAAACCGAGCGAAUCCCCCACAUGUCGCAGCCGGGAGAUUAAUUGGGGCCUGUUCCCGGGAUGCUGGCUGCUCAACACAAGCCUCCUCUGAAUUCCGUAAUGUCCCCCAUCCCACAGCACCAUCUGCUCACCAAAGCUAGGCUGGAGUCUGUGUGUGGAAGUCAGCUCUGUUCAAACAGUUGUGGGAGGAGAAAGCGCAGCACAUGGUUCUCAAUCUGUUGUUCGAUGUGUUUCACUGGCCUGAUCCUGCGAGUUGCUGAGCACUCUCCGCACCGGUGGAAUUCCUUGAGACUGAAGCACUUGGCAGCAGCCUCUGGACAGGAAAAGAAUCCACAAACAAAAUGAAAGUUAAUUGAAAAUAUAAAAGGGAGGGAAAAAUCUGACUGCCCCUGAUUCCAGCAACUGUCUAUUUUCUCUCCCCCUAGGUGGUUGCUGGAGACUGGUGUCUUGUGUCUUACCUAAACAACUGGUGGGAUAUUUAUUUUUUCCUCUUCCUUCCCUUUUUUCCUCAUAUUUAUCUCUCUUGUAACCUUCCUGUCACUUUCCUUCUGCCUGGGCAGAUAACUAAUGUGUUUGUUGCAUGUUUCACUGAGUGUACUGCAUAGAGGACAACAAGUUAUAAAACAGGG